rnacentral:lncRNA from 1 species
CAAAUUGAUACGUAUUAAUCAGAAGCAAAUGCUCGAAAUGAUUACACAGAAUAGAAAAAGGCUUAUGAUUGGUAAGUAAGACUGUCUAAAUAUAAAAUGGCUGAGUCAGUAUGACUUCAGUUAAGUAAAAAUAAGUUAUUAUAUGGCGAAAGAAGUAAGGUAUGCAACAACGAACAUAAUUCUGGUACAGUAGUGGGGCUGUGACUGAUAAGAUUUUGGUUUUGGAGAACGGACAAAAAUUUUUGUAGUGUUGUCACCACCAUUUCUGCUGCCGCAGAGGAGAGCUGAGAAAUCUUGAAAUUAAAUAAUAUAUCUCAACAUGGUAAGAAGGGGAGGGGUUGCAAGGAACCAGCAGCAUUGCUCUGGAGAAAACAAUAAUACAUCUGAGAUAUAAAUAGAAGUUCAGAAAAUGUGCCUCACUGAAAAGUUUAAAGCUAAAACCUCCUAAUGAGUGAAAUUCAGGAAUCCACUCGGUGUCAUUCCGCCUUCUGUCCCGAAAUCACUUUGUGGCCUUGGUAGAGUCAUUUAUGGCCUCAGGCCUCUGUUUACCCAUUUGCAGAAUGAGAAUAGACCCAGUACUGGCGCGGAUUUGUUCUGGUUAAAAAUGGCUGCAGUAUUUAUGACAGUAUCACCUUUUACAUUUGGGUUAAUGACAACUACAUAGAAUACAUCAUUGCGAUAUUUAGUGAUCAGAUGAUCACUCUAGUCAAUUGAAGGGUGAAUAUAUGCCAGAAUGACAGAAAAGAAAGUGCAGGAUAGAAUGUGGAGGGAAUGGGUGUCAGAGAGGGUGAACCAGGGGAAAGGAUGAAAGCAAGUGUGCAGAUACACACGUUUGAUGCUGUAGCAUUAUCAACCUCACUGUGAUUUAUAGAAUUUCAACAAACUGCAUUUACCUGUACAAGAUGUUUCUUUACACAUCAAGCAUCCGGCCUUGACGUGAAGAAGACGUGACCUGCCCAUGGUCUUCCCCAGAGGUGACACCAAAAUUGUGAUCUGCACCCUGGGUCAGCCAAAAACCCUGUGGACAAGAAAGGACAGCUCGAAGUCUGGUGGGACAACCCUCAUUUGUUUGGGGCAACAGUGUGGGCAGCCCAGUGGGGUCAUGUUUGCACAAGCCCACCAUAGCUGCAUGGCUCCCUCUUCCCCAUGAUCCUUUGCAGCACGGCAUGGGCUGAUGUGAUAUAAAGUCUGCUGGGCAGCCAUGGAGAAUACGAAGAAGGCAAGGACACCUCCAGACAAGAUUUCAUUCCGGCUCACUCUGUUGUGAUGACAACUAAGCUCCAGUUAGUUUGAUGGCUAAAACCAGCCCAACAGCCGAAAGAGUCUUGAAAGGAAAUCACAGAUUUUAGAGAAAGCAAUGUGAGAUUUACCUGUAGAUAUAUUCUGUUACCAUUUUUUUAAAAACAAAUAUGUAUUUCUUAAUAUUCAGAACACUGGAGUUAUACCACAAGGAAAGAGUCUGGGGUCAAUGAAGAUUUUUGAAUUUGCGCUUCUGCUGUGCUGGUCUUUCCACCUCCCAUCCCCCACCCUGGACUCCCACUGCUCUGACCCCUCCCACUGCGAGGCAGUCCUGGCUGGGACCCUGUACCGG